UACGUAGGGUGCAAGCGUUGUCCGGAAUUAUUGGGCGUAAAGAGCUUGUAGGCGGUUUGUCGCGUCUGCUGUGAAAUUUCGGGGCUCAACCCCGAACUUGCAGUGGGUACGGGCAGACUAGAGUGUGGUAGGGGAGACUGGAAUUCCUGGUGUAGCGGUGAAAUGCGCAGAUAUCAGGAGGAACACCGAUGGCGAAGGCAGGUCUCUGGGCCAUAACUGACGCUGAGAACGAACGAACUGGGGAGCAAACAGG
rnacentral:rRNA from 1 species